rnacentral:rRNA from 1 species
CCAGCAGCUGCGGUAAUUCCAGCUCCAAUAGCGUAUAUUAAAGUUGUUGCAGUUAAAACGCUCGUAGUCUGAUGUAAUGGGGACUGGUGUGGGGAGCAGCGAUGCUCUGUGCAGCGGUCCUCAUCAGGGGGCCAGCAAUGGCCCAGUUUACUUUGAGGAAAUUAGAGUGUUCAAAGCAGGCGAUUGCUUGAAUACUGCAGCAUGGAAUAAUGGAAUAGGACUCGCGUCUUAUUUUGUUGGUUUGGAGAUGUGAGUAAUGAUGAAUAGGGACAGUUGGGGCUAUUCGUAUUCCAUUGUCAGAGGUGAAAUUCUUGGAUUUCUGGAAGACGAACUACUGCGAAAGCAUUUAGCAAGGAUGUUUUCAUUAAUCAAGAACGAAAGU